CCUACGGGGCGCUGCAGUGGGGAAUAUUGGACAAUGGGCGAAAGCCUGAUCCAGCCAUGCCGCGUGUGUGAAGAAGGCCUUCGGGUUGUAAAGCACUUUCAGUGGGGAAGAAAGCCUUGGGGCUAAUACCCUCGAGGAAGGACAUCACCCACAGAAGAAGCACCGGCUAACUCCGUGUCAGCAGCCGCGGUAAUACGGAGGGUGCGAGCGUUAAUCGGAAUUACUGGGCGUAAAGCGCGCGUAGGCGGUCUGAUAAGCCGGUUGUGAAAGCCCCGGGCUCAACCUGGGAACGGCAUCCGGAACUGUCAGGCUAGAGUGCAGGAGAGGAAGGUAGAAUUCCCGGUGUAGCGGUGAAAUGCGUAGAGAUCGGGAGGAAUACCAGUGGCGAAGGCGGCCUUCUGGACUGACACUGACGCUGAGGUGCGAAAGCGUGGGUAGCAAACAGGAUUAGAUACCCGUGUAGUC
rnacentral:rRNA from 1 species